CCUCGUCGAUCUGUUGCGGGCAGAUCCAGUGGAUGUGGGUGUCGAUGCCACCGGCCGUCACGAUCAUGCCUUCCGCGGCAAUGAUCUCGGUGCCCGGCCCGAUGACGAUGUCGACCCCCGGCUGCACGUCAGGGUUGCCGGCCUUGCCGAUGCCGGCGAUGCGCGAGCCCUUCAGGCCGAUGUCGGCCUUCACGAUGCCCCAGUGGUCGACGAUCAGCGCAUUGGUCAGCACGCAGUCCAUCGCGUCCAAGGCACCCGGGCCGUUGGGCCGCUGGCUCUGGCCCAUGCCGUCGCGGAUG
rnacentral:sRNA from 1 species